rnacentral:rRNA from 1 species
CAGCAGCCACGGGAAUACAGAGGGUGCUAGCGUUAAUCGGAUUUACUGGGCGUAAAGCGUGCGUAGGCGGCUUUUUAAGUCGGAUGUGAAAUCCCUGAGCUUAACUUAGGAAUUGCAUUCGAUACUGGGAAGCUAGAGUAUGGGAGAGGAUGGUAGAAUUCCAGGUGUAGCGGUGAAAUGCGUAGAGAUCUGGAGGAAUACCGAUGGCGAAGGCAGCCAUCUGGCCUAAUACUGACGCUGAGGUACGAAAGCAUGGGGAGCAAACAGGAUUAGAUACCCCUGUAGUCCCUGUCUCUUAUAC